rnacentral:rRNA from 1 species
AGCGAACGCUGGCGGCAGGCCUAACACAUGCAAGUCGAACGGACCCUUCGGGGUUAGUGGCGGACGGGUGAGUAACACGUGGGAACGUGCCUUUAGGUUCGGAAUAGCUCCUGGAAACGGGUGGUAAUGCCGAAUGUGCCCUUCGGGGGAAAGAUUUAUCGCCUUUAGAGCGGCCCGCGUCUGAUUAGCUAGUUGGUGAGGUAAUGGAUCACCAAGGCGACGAUCAGUAGCUGGUCUGAGAGGAUGACCAGCCACAUUGGGACUGGUACACGGCCCAAAUGCCUACGGGAGGCAGCAGUGGGGAAUCUUGCGCAAUGGGCGAAAGCCUAACGCAGCCAUGCCGCGUGGAUGAUGAAGGUCUUAGGAUUGUAAAAUCCUUUCACCGGUGAAGAUAAUGACUGUAGCCGGAGAAGAAGCCCCGGCUAACUUCGUGCCAGCCGCCGCUGUAACAC